UGGGGAAUAUUGGACAAUGGGCGAAAGCCUGAUCCAGCAAUGCCGCGUGGGUGAAGAAGGUCUUCGGAUUGUAAAGCCCUUUCGGCGGGGACGAUGAUGACGGUACCCGCAGAAGAAGCCCCGGCUAACUUCGUGCCAGCAGCCGCGGUAAUACGAAGGGGGCUAGCGUUGCUCGGAAUUACUGGGCGUAAAGGGCGCGUAGGCGGCUUGGUCAGUCAGGCGUGAAAUUCCUGGGCUUAACCUGGGGGCUGCGCUUGAUACGGCCGAGCUUGAGGACGGAAGAGGCUCGUGGAAUUCCCAGUGUAGAGGUGAAAUUCGUAGAUAUUGGGAAGAACACCGGUGGCGAAGGCGGCGAGCUGGUCCGUUACUGACGCUGAGGCGCGACAGCGUGGGGAGCAAACAGGAUUAGAUACCCUGGUAGUCCACGCCGUAAACGAUGUGCGCUGGAUGUUGGGAACCCUAGGUUCUCAGUGUCGUAGCCAACGCGGUAAGCGCACCGCCUGGGGAGUACGGCCGCAAGGUUG
rnacentral:rRNA from 1 species